rnacentral:rRNA from 1 species
GUGCUUAACACAUGCAAGUCGAACGGUGAAAGAGAGCUUGCUCUCUGGAUCAGUGGCGAACGGGUGAGUAACACGUGAGCAAUCUGCCCCUGACUCUGGGAUAAGCGUUGGAAACGACGUCUAAUACCGGAUACGAGCUGCGAAGGCAUCUUCAGCAGCUGGAAAGAACUUCGGUCAGGGAUGAGCUCGCGGCCUAUCAGCUAGUUGGUGAGGUAAUGGCUCACCAAGGCGUCGACGGGUAGCCGGCCUGAGAGGGUGACCGGCCACACUGGGACUGAGACACGGCCCAGACUCCUACGGGAGGCAGCAGUGGGGAAUAUUGCACAAUGGGCGAAAGCCUGAUGCAGCAACGCCGCGUGAGGGACGACGGCCUUCGGGUUGUAAACCUCUUUUAGCAGGGAAGAAGCGAAAGUGACGGUACCUGCAGAAAAAGCACCGGCUAACUACGUGCCAGCAGCCGCGGUAAUACGUAGGGUGCAAGCGUUAUCCGGAAUUAUUGGGCGUAAAGAGCUCGUAGGCGGUUUGUCGCGUCUGCUGUGAAAACCCGAGGCUCAACCUCGGGCCUGCAGUGGGUACGGGCAGACUAGAGUGCGGUAGGGGAGAUUGGAAUUCCUGGUGUAGCGGUGGAAUGCGCAGAUAUCAGGAGGAACACCGAUGGCGAAGGCAGAUCUCUGGGCCGUAACUGACGCUGAGGAGCGAAAGGGUGGGGAGCAAACAGGCUUAGAUACCCUGGUAGUCCACCCCGUAAACGUUGGGAACUAGUUGUGGGGUCCAUUCCACGGAUUCCGUGACGCAGCUAACGCAUUAAGUUCCCCGCCUGGGGAGUACGGCCGCAAGGCUAAAACUCAAAGGAAUUGACGGGGACCCGCACAAGCGGCGGAGCAUGCGGAUUAAUUCGAUGCAACGCGAAGAACCUUACCAAGGCUUGACAUAUACGAGAACGCUGCAGAAAUGUAGAACUCUUUGGACACUCGUAAACAGGUGGUGCAUGGUUGUCGUCAGCUCGUGUCGUGAGAUGUUGGGUUAAGUCCCGCAACGAGCGCAACCCUCGUUCUAUGUUGCCAGCACGUAAUGGUGGGAACUCAUGGGAUACUGCCGGGGUCAACUCGGAGGAAGGUGG